CCACGGGUGGCUGCAGUGAGGAAUAUUGCGCAAUGGGGGCAACCCUGACGCAGCAACGCCGCGUGAGUGAGGAAGGUUUUCGGACCGUAAAGCUCUGUCGAGCGGGAAGAAAUGUAUCGUGGCUAAUAUCCAUGAUAUUUGACGGUACCGCUAAAGGAAGCACCGGCUAACUCCGUGCCAGCAGCCGCGGUAAUACGGGGGGUGCAAGCGUUGUUCGGAAUUAUUGGGCGUAAAGAGCGUGUAGGCGGCUGAAUAAGUCAGAUGUGAAAUCCCUGGGCUUAACCCAGGAAGUGCAUUUGAAACUAUUCAGCUGGAGUAGGGGAGAGGAAAGUGGAAUUCCUGGUGUAGAGGUGAAAUUCGUAGAUAUCAGGAGGAACACCGGUGGCGAAGGCGACUUUCUGGCCCUAUACUGACGCUGAGACGCGAGAGCGUGGGUAGCAAACA
rnacentral:rRNA from 1 species